UAGGGAAUCUUCGGCAAUGGACGAAAGUCUGACCGAGCAACGCCGCGUGAGUGAAGAAGGUUUUCGGAUCGUAAAACUCUGUUGUUAGAGAAGAACAAGGACGUUAGUAACUGAACGUCCCCUGACGGUAUCUAACCAGAAAGCCACGGCUAACUACGUGCCAGCAGCCGCGGUAAUACGUAGGUGGCAAGCGUUGUCCGGAUUUAUUGGGCGUAAAGCGAGCGCAGGCGGUUUCUUAAGUCUGAUGUGAAAGCCCCCGGCUCAACCGGGGAGGGUCAUUGGAAACUGGGCGACUUGAGUGCAGAAGAGGAGGGUGGAAUUCCUUGUGCAGCGGUAAAAUGCGUAGAUAUAUGGAGGAUCACCAGUGGCGAAGGCGGCUCUCUGGUCUAUAGCUGACGCUGAGGCUCGGAAGCGUGGGGAGCAAACAGG
rnacentral:rRNA from 1 species